GCCCGUCUAGCUCAGUCGGUAGAGCGCAAGGCUCUUAACCAUGUGGUCCUGGGUUCAAGUCCCAGGGUGGGCG
rnacentral:tRNA from 1 species